UACAGAGGUCUCGAGCGUUGUUCGGAUUCAUUGGGCGUAAAGGGCGCGUAGGCGGCGGGGUAAGUCUGGUGUGAAAUCUCGGAGCUCAACUCCGAAAUUGCACUGGAUACUGCUCUGCUAGAGGGCUGGAGAGGAGAUCGGAAUUCACGGUGUGGCAGUGAAAUGCGUAGAUAUCGUGAGGAAGACCAGUGGCGAAGGCGGAUCUCUGGACAGCUCCUGACGCUGAGGCGCGAAGGCUAGGGGAGCAAACGGG
rnacentral:rRNA from 1 species